rnacentral:ncRNA from 1 species
UUGAAAAUAGCAAACCCAUCGAAAGGCAGGGACGCAAAGCCACGGGUCUAAUGUUUAUGAAGACAGCCGGGUUACCA